UACGUAGGGGGCAAGCGUUGUCCGGAUUUAUUGGGCGUAAAGCGCUCGCAGGUGGUCCGUCGCGUCGUGCGUGAAAGCCCCCGGCUCAACUGGGGAGUGUCGUGCGAUACGGGCGGACUGGAGGCCAGUAGGGGGAUGCGGAAUUCCGGGUGUAGUGGUGGAAUGCGUAGAGAUCCAGAGGAACACCAGCGGCGAAGGCGGCAUCCUGGACUGGUCCUGACACUCAUGAGCGAAAGCGUGGGGAGCGAUCCGG
rnacentral:rRNA from 1 species